GAUGAAGAACGUAGCGAAAUGCGAUAAGUAGUGUGAAUUGCAGAAUUCAGUGAAUCAUCGAAUCUUUGAACGCACAUUGCGCCCCUUGGUAUCCCGAGGGGCAUGCCUGUUCGAGCGUCAUUUCACCACUCAAGCCUGGCUUGGUGUUGGGCGACGUCCUCUUUGGGGACGCGCCUCGAAACGCUCGGCGGCGUGGCACCGGCUUUAAGCGUAGCAGAAUCUUUCGCUUUGGAAGUCGGGGCCCCGUCUGCCGGAAGACCUGCUCGCAAGGUUGACCUCGGAUCAGGCAGGGGUACCCGCUGAACUUAAGCAUAUCAAUAAGCGGAGGA
rnacentral:misc_RNA from 1 species